UAAGGAAGGCAGCAGGCGCGUAAAUUACCCAAUCCUAAUUCAGGGAGGUAGUGACAAGAAAUAACAACUCGGGCCCCACAUGGGGUUGCGAGAUUGCAAUGAGAACAAUUUAAACCACUUAUCGAGUAACAAUUGGAGGGCAAGUCUGGUGCCAGCAGCCGCGGUAAUUCCAGCUCCAAUAGCGUAUAUUAAAGUUGUUGCAGUUAAAAAGCUCGUAGUUGAAUUUCUGGCCGGCGCUGUUCACGGCUCUCGCAGUCGGUUCAGGAGCCUGGUCAUCCGUAUGGGAAGCUAGCACGUCCUUCAGUGGUCGGCUAGUGGAUCAUACACUUUACUUUGAAAAAAUUAGAGUGUUUCAGGCAGGCAAUUGCUUGGAUACUGCAGCAUGGAAUAAUGGAAUAGGACUUUGACCUAUUUGUUGGUUUCUUGAGGUCAAAGUAAUGAUUAAUAGGGACAGUUGGGGGCAUCCGUAUUUAAUUG
rnacentral:rRNA from 2 species